AUACGGAGGGUGCAAGCGUUAUCCGGAAUCAUUGGGUUUAAAGGGUCCGGAGGCGGGCUAAUAAGUCAGGGGUGAAAUCCCACAGCUUAACUGUGGAACUGCCCUUGAUACUGUUGGUCUUGAGUUACAGUGAAGUGGUUAGAAUGUGUAGUGUAGCGGUGAAAUGCAUAGAGAUUACACAGAAUACCGAUUGCGAAGGCAGAUCACUAACUGUAUACUGACGCUAAUGGACGAAAGCGUGGGGAGCGAACAGGAUUAGAAACCCUAGUAGUCC
rnacentral:rRNA from 1 species